rnacentral:tRNA from 1 species
GGGCGAUUAGCUCAGUUGGCUAGAGCGCCAGCUCGACAAGCUGGAGGUCACUGGUUCGAGCCCAGUAUCGCCCACCA